rnacentral:rRNA from 1 species
UACGGAGGGGGCUAGCGUUGUUCGGAAUUACUGGGCGUAAAGCGCGCGUAGGCGGGCCAGCAAGUCAGGGGUGAAAGCCCACGGCUCAACCGUGGAAGUGCCUCUGAUACUGCGGGCCUCGAGGGAGGUAGGGGCGUGCGGAACUUCCGGUGGAGCGGUGAAAUGCGUAGAUAUCGGAAGGAACACCGGUGGCGAAAGCGGCGCGCUGGACCUCUUCUGACGCUGAGGCGCGAAAGCCAGGGGAGCAAACGGG